ensembl:lncRNA
GCCUCUGGGCGGCGCUCUAGGCAACCACCUAUGUCGCCUGUAUGAAGGACCGGCCCUGCGUAUGGGUGUAGAGAGGAGGAUUGAUGGGGGUGCGAUGCCGUCCAUUGCUCAAAAGGGCAUUCAUGCAGCUGCAAAUUAUCGAUACAUUGCUAGGCGCAACAACGGAUGUCAACAUGAUAAAGGCCCAGUUGCCACCAGAAUCUCUGGCCACGUAAGGCUAACCAGUAGAUGUUUUGGCGGCAGCACUCCAAAACAUUGGGCCAAUCGCUGUUGCUGUGGAUGCUGGGGAAAAAAAGCUUCCAACUCUACCAAUCAGGUAGGCUAUCUAUGAGGAGCCAUCCUGCAGUACCAUAUAUCUAAACCAUGCGGAGGUUUUGGUGGGCUAUGGGUUUGAGAGAGGAGUUCAUUACUGGAUCAUAAAGAACAGCUGGGGCACUGCCUGGGGAGAGAAUGGCUACAUGAGAAUGAGAAGAGAUGGGAGGAACACCUGUGGCAUCGCCAGCUAUGCCAUGUAUCCACUUAUGUGAACCCAAUUUGCAGUGAUUCAGUGACUCUCAACAACACACC